CAAAUUUAAAAUCUACCUGGUUUCCAGGUCGAGUUGUAAUUUGAAGAUACGUUUUUGACGUUCCGGGUUGAACUAAAUCCUUUGGGAUAAGGUAUCAUGGAGGGUGAGAAUCCCGUAUAUACCAACCRUAGGGAUGUUAUUUAAUACGUUUCUAAGAGUCGAGUUGUUUGGGAAUGCAGCUCUAAAUGGGUGGUAAAUUUCACCUAAUGCUAAAUAUAAGCGAGAGACCGAUAGCGAACAAGUACAGUGAUGGAAAGAUGAAAAGAACUUUGAAAAGAGAGUUAAAUAGUAYGUGAAAUUGUUGAAAGGGAAACGAUUGAAGUCAGUCAUGCCMGUGGGAAUCAACUUWGAGGAAACUCUGAGUGCACUUYUUCGCUUGGCAGGUCAACGUCGAUUUUGGAUGUCAUAAAAUGAUUGGGGGAAGGUAGCUCYYUCGGGAGUGUUAUAGCCCUUGGUAGAUGUGAUGUCUGGGAUCGAGGAUUGCAAUGGAUACCCUUUGGGGCUAGCCGCCUGAUCUCUAAUCGGUAUUGGGUUACGGAUAGCAUGCUGACCGUGAUCUAAUUAUUGGUUAAAAGGUUAG
rnacentral:rRNA from 1 species